rnacentral:rRNA from 1 species
GAUGAACGCUAGCGGCAGGCCUAACACAUGCAAGUCGAGGGGUAACAGGGAGUGCUUGCACUCUGCUGACGACCGGCGCACGGGUGCGUAACGCGUAUGCAACCUACCUUCUACAGGGGGAUAGCCCAGAGAAAUUUGGAAUAAUACCCCAUACGAUCAUUAAUUGGCAUCGAUUGAUGAAGAAAACUUUUUGUGGUAGAAGAUGGGCAUGCGUCCUAUUAGUUAGUUGGUAAGGUAACGGCUUACCAAGACAUCGAUAGGUAGGGGCCCUGAGAGGGGGAUCCCCCACACUGGUACUGAGACACGGACCAGACUCCUACGGGAGGCAGCAGUGAGGAAUAUUGGACAAUGGAGGCAACUCUGAUCCAGCCAUGCCGCGUGCAGGAAGACUGCCCUAUGGGUUGUAAACUGCUUUUAUACAGGAAGAAACUGCGCUACGUGUAGCGUACUGACGGUACUGUAAGAAUAAGGAUCGGCUAACUCCGUGCCAGCAGCCGCGGUAAUACGGAGGAUCCAAGCGUUAUCCGGAAUCAUUGGGUUUAAAGGGUCCGUAGGUGGUCCAUUAAGUCAGAGGUGAAAUCCUAUCGCUCAACGAUAGAACUGCCUUUGAAACUGAUAGACUUGAGUUAUUGUGAAGUAGUUAGAAUAUGUAGUGUAGCGGUGAAAUGCAUAGAUAUUACAUAGAAUACCGAUUGCGAAGGCAGAUUACUAACAAUAUACUGACACUGAGGGACGAAAGCGUGGGUAGCGAACAGGAUUAGAUACCCUGGUAGUCCACGCCGUAAACGAUGGUCACUAGCUGUUUGACUAACAUUGGUUGGUUGAGUGGCUAAGCGAAAGUGAUAAGUGACCCACCUGGGGAGUACGCUCGCAAGAGUGAAACUCAAAGGAAUUGACGGGGGCCCGCACAAGCGGUGGAGCAUGUGGUUUAAUUCGAUGAUACGCGAGGAACCUUACCAGGGCUUAAAUGUACGUUGCAUGAUUUAGAGAUAGAUCUUUCUUCGGACUACGUACAAGGUGCUGCAUGGUUGUCGUCAGCUCGUGCCGUGAGGUGUCAGGUUAAGUCCUAUAACGAGCGCAACCCCUAUCGUUAGUUGCCAUCAGGUUAAGCUGGGAACUCUAACGAGACUGCCGGUGCAAACCGCGAGGAAGGUGGGGAUGACGCCAAAUCAUCACGGCCCUUACGUCCUGGGCCACACACGUGCUACAAUGGCCGGUACAGAGAGCAGCCACUCCGCGAGGAGGAGCGAAUCUAUAAAACCGGUCUCAGUUCGGAUCGCAGUCUGCAACUCGACUGCGUGAAGCUGGAAUCGCUAGUAAUCGGAUAUCAGCCAUGAUCCGGUGAAUACGUUCCCGGGCCU